GGGCGUCUAUACACGAUGAAUGGAAUACUUCUUUUGGUUUGAUCCUAAAUUUGGAACUUGACUUCAAUUUUCCCGCGGAGGGUUAUCGUGUAAGUUUUUACGGUAAAUUGCAAUGGAUGGUAUAUUUGAUACAUCGAACAGGACUGAGGCCUCUUUUUCUUGGACAGUCUCAUGCGCAGAAAAGCCUCACCCUCAAUUUUUUUUACCUUUACGCAUAUUCUAAAGCACCUUUUUUGGCCGUAACUGGCCGGGCCUCUCGCUCAUGCAGUGAUGCAUUGCGUCGUUGAAAGUGGCCGAGAGCCGAGCGGCAAAGCUUCAUUUGUUUGCACUCGUAUGAUCAAUCUAACUCCUGGCUCACAAUUCAAGAACAGAUAGUUUACCUAGCCGCCCGCCAGGUGGACCGUUUAUCACAGUCCCAAUUGCCAGAAAACAAUGUAUCAAACAUAAUAUGAGCCGCUUCGGUUAGUUCCACACGUAGCACGUUUGUCGCGGCUAUGAAAGAUCACCACUUGAGCAGAGAAUUGAGCGAGUGUUCAAAGAAAAGCAUCGUUCUAAUUUGAAGGCGCUCUGGGGCAAACAUACAUUUGGUAGUUGAUCACACAUGCAUACAUUUUGAAAUGUCCUCUUCGAGCCAUAGGCUUUUACACAGAUUUCUGUCUUGUCCGGCGUUCAAGAAAAAAAAGAAAAAAAAAGAAAAAAAAAAUUAAAGUAAUUUUGAUGGAAUCAGUAUCAGGAACAUAGAUUUUAAAACUGAAUGUAUAAUGAUGAA